UACGUAGGGUGCGAGCGUUAAUCGGAAUUACUGGGCGUAAAGUGUGCGCAGGCGGCCGAGCAAGUCGAGUGUGAAAUCCCGGAGCUCAACUCCGGAACUGCCUUUGAUACUGGGGAUCUUGGAGUCCGGGAGAGGUGAGUGGAACUGCGAGUGUAGAGGUGAAAUUCGUAGAUAUUCGCAAGAACACCAGUGGCGAAGGCGGCUCACUGGCCCGGUACUGACGCUGAGGUGCGAAAGCGUGGGGAGCAUACAGG
rnacentral:rRNA from 1 species